UUGGUCGAUUAAAAACGCAGGGAACGAGCAGGAGCUUCACACAAACCCUAACUCUCACUAAAUCAAUCAAUUGAAGGCUCUAAUCUGGUCCAAAUCGAAAUCCGAGCACGUAUUAGUGAUCCCCACUGAAAAAGGAGUCACAAGUUUGACUCUGACAAGUAGGUAGGAGCUUGGAAAUGAACGGGUCAAAUGGAUACAAGUUCAAGUAUGAAGCUCGCAAGGAUGCAAGGAGUAGAUAUCCAAUGGAUACUCGCAUCGCUCUUAAUUAGCAAUUAUAAAGCAAGGUAUUAAACCGGGUUAGUAAGUUGAUCCGAGCCAGGUAUGUAUAAUAGAUUAACUCAUCUGUAGAACUUGAAGUUCUAUGAAAGUUAGG
rnacentral:lncRNA from 1 species